UACGAGGGGUGCAAGCGUUGCUCGGAAUUAUUGGGCGUAAAGGGCAGGUAGGUGGUCUUAUUUGUCUUAUGUGAAAUCCUUGGGCUUAACCUAAGAAGUGCGUAAGAAACGGUAAGACUAGAGUCCCAGAGAGGCUUGUGGAAUUCCCGGUGUAGCGGUGAAAUGCGUAGAGAUCGGGAGGAACACCAGAGGCGAAGGCGGCAAGCUGGACCACAACUGACGCUGAUGCACGAAAGCUAGGGGAGCAAACAGG
rnacentral:rRNA from 1 species